rnacentral:rRNA from 1 species
GUGGGGAAUAUUGGACAAUGGGGGGAACCCUGAUCCAGCCAUGCCGCGUGUGUGAAGAAGGCCUUUUGGUUGUAAAGCACUUUAAGCGAGGAGGAGGCUACCGAGAUUAAUACUCUUGGAUAGUGGACGUUACUCGCAGAAUAAGCACCGGCUAACUCUGUGCCAGCAGCCGCGGUAAUACAGAGGGUGCAAGCGUUAAUCGGAUUUACUGGGCGUAAAGCGCGCGUAGGUGGCCAAUUAAGUCAAAUGUGAAAUCCCCGAGCUUAACUUGGGAAUUGCAUUCGAUACUGGUUGGCUAGAGUAUGGGAGAGGAUGGUAGAAUUCCAGGUGUAGCGGUGAAAUGCGUAGAGAUCUGGAGGAAUACCGAUGGCGAAGGCAGCCAUCUGGCCUAAUACUGACGCUGAGGUACGAAAGCAUGGGGAGCAAACAGGAUUAGAUACCCCGGUAGUCC